rnacentral:lncRNA from 1 species
AACCCUCUUCAGUAUCCAAACUUCACACCACUAACACAACAACACUCUCAUAACUAUCCUUAUCGAAGACAUAUGCAAUUUGAACUGAAUCUUCAUUGUUUCUCCUGUACGGAUAAUCACUGAUGAAGUGAUCAAUUUUUUGACAAGUAAAACAUUUUAACCUCGACUUGUCAAACCUCUUUGAUUUGGACAUCCCUUUAUGC